AUGAAUAUUUGUAACUUUUCCUUUGUCCUUCUGCUUGCAGGUUCCAGAGGGGCCAUUGGGGUAACCCAGUCUCGGUCCUCCCUGGCUGUGUCUCUGGGAGAGACGGUCACCCUGUCCUGCAGGGCCAGUCAGAGCGUUGGUAAUUACAUGACCUGGUACCAACAUCCCCCAGGCCAGUCUCCCAGGCCCCUCAUUUACUAUGCUUCCACCCUGCACUCUGGGGUCCCUGCCCGGUUCAGUGGCAGUGGCUCUGGGACAGAUUUCUCUCUUACCAUCAGUGCUAUGGAACCAGAGGACAUCGGACACUAUUACUGUCAGCAGAGUUAUAGUUAUCCUCUCACAGUGGUUCAGCUUUGGUCAAAAACCUGCCCAGGCAGCUGCUGA